AGUGGGGGAAAAUUACCUGGAAUUCUAACCACACAUUCCAAGGAGGAAUACCUGACCUGCUAUGCAAAUAGUAAGGCAAAUUACUGGGGUCAUGCUGGAGCCCCUUUGGUAUGCCGGCCAAACGACUCCAAUUUCUUUGUCCUAGGGGUGGCCAGUUGGAGUGAGGGAUGUGGAAAGUUUCCAAGGCCGGCGGUUUAUUCCUCAGUGCCUCUUGUCGUGGACUGGAUUCUGCAGCAGUUUGAUGUGACUUUGGAUUCAGAGCUUGAAGAGGACCCAGAUGAAAAAGAUUUUAGGACUGAAUCAUCUGUAGGCUUUUAAGCUGUACCAUCAUAUCUGCAUUUCAACAAAGCCAGCCACAACUUGCGCUCUGAAUACAUGAUCAGUAUUUAUAUUACAGUAACGUUCAUUAUUAUGUAUUUUGAAUUAUUUAUUUUGGUAUGAUAUGUAGAGCAAUGUUACUGCAUGUUUGAUGAAGGACAAUGUUUUUCUAUUAUUAAUGUAUUCUCUCACGUGUAUUUCCAUAGCCAAUUUAUUUAUAUAAUGAUUAGGACACAUUUUGGAAAUAAAGUUUUUAUGACUUGUUAAUGGUGGUGUAAUGUUAUAAAUUAAACCAUGGGUAUCCACUCUCACCAACAUCAUAUAGUAAUUAUAAUGUCGCGCACAGUUUAAUAAUAUAAAGAAAAAUAGUUGAACAGAUAAUCUGUACAUUCAAAAUGUUGUAGCUAAGUGAUCCAAAGACAAACCGUUGCCGCAUG
ensembl:lncRNA